GCCGGCAGCUAGCUCUCUGCAAUUCUCACAUGGUUGCUGGUGAAGUUAAGCAGGGCUGCUCCUGGUCAGUACAUGGAUGGGAAACCACAUGGGAAAGCUAGGUUGCUGCUGGAA
rnacentral:rRNA from 1 species